rnacentral:misc_RNA from 1 species
AACGCACAUUGCACCCUCUGGUAUUCCGGAGGGUAUGCCUGUUUGAGUGUCAUUAAUCUAUCAACACAGACAAGUUUGCCACUUGUUCUGAUGCUUGGAUGUUGAAGGCUUGCCGGCAUUCAUUGCCAGCUCCUUUUAAAUGCAUUAGCAGGAACUUACAAAGCUGGCUUCAGUUUGAUAAUAAUAUUUUUAUCUGUAUUGCUGUUGCUAGUGAUUGUUAAUUGUUUCAGCUUCUAAUUGUCCUUAUGGGACUGUCUCUUUAGAGGCAUAACACUUGACAUUUGACCUCAAAUCAGGUAGGACUACCCGCUGAACUUAA